rnacentral:lncRNA from 1 species
UAACCUUCCUGGUAAACCAGACGGGAAUGCAUUAUAUUUCAAAUUAAAAGGUAACUUUUAGAUUUAUGUGGUAUUUCAAAGAUUUAUUCUUCUCUAGAUACAUUAUCCAUUGUCCCUUAUACGAGGAUGACUUAAAAAUAUGAAAUUUAUAUACGUUUAUUUUUUUCAACUUUCGUUUUUGGCUCGUAUAGAACCAUGAUAUCAUACAUACUUGGAUCUACAUAUACUAACCAUUGUACCAAAUGACCAAGGAAGGCUACUAACACAACUUUAAUAAAUAUGCAUGGGGUACAUUGUUUCAAUACCUCAGCUUCUACAAAGGGGUCAGUUGACAAAACACCAAAGAAAUACCACCAAAUCAAAAAAAAGUCCAAAUAUUGUAAUAAUAAAUAUAUCUUAUAUGUGAAAAAAAGAACAAAUUUCCGAGUUUUAUUUGACAUAAUUCGUUACAACAUAAUGCAAAGAACCGUAACUCUGAUCCGUUUUGUGUAACAAUAUAAUAUGUAAUAAUAACUAUAAUAUAGUUUUUAAUUUAAACUCCUAAAAAAAAAGGAAAAAAGAAACUUAAAACAUUUGAUUCAAAACAUGUGUUUUGAAAUCAAUAUAAUCAUUCAUUUUCGAAUUUUAAAACAUUUUUAAAUGGUUGCCAGGGAAACAAACUAUUUAGUAAAUUCAAAGUUUAAACUUUUUGAAUAGUUUGGGGUUUUAUCUGUUAACAUUUAAAAUACCAUAUUGUUUUAUUGAUAAACAAAAUUUCGAUGGGACUUUAAAUUCAAUUUUCAAUUUUCAAAAGCGUCUUUUUCACCUAUAUUCAGGCAAAAUGUUGUAUUGACGGUUACCAUGGCAAAGCACAUUAUACAGGAAAAAUAAUGAAAAAAUUUACUCAUAUACCAAUGUUUUUAUCAUAUAGGGCAAAACAAUUUAAUUCUGUGACAGUCAUGAAUCACCCUCUGCAUGAUUUUUAAAAAUACAGGUACUUUAAACCCAAGUCAAAUUGAAUUCAUUUUAGAAUAUUUACUUUUAAUGGUACCACGACUGCAAAACUAUUGCUAUGGCUAAUAAUUUAUCAUUGAUUCUAAUUUUGUAGUGUGUUUAAUGGCUGCAUCAUCUCAAAGCUGUGGUGUUUGUGACCUCCGUCACAUCACAAAACCAUGCAUAGUCUGGUGUACAGAAUGUGACGAGGGACUAUGUUCAGAAUGCAAGGAACAUCAUAGUUUGUCUAAGUCAUCGAGAAGCCACAGUGUGAUACCUAUUGCCGAAUACCAGAAACUGCCAGCGGAUGUACUGAAAAUUACUCAGUAUUGUACCAGUCACGAUAAAAAAUAUCAAUUCUAUUGCCAGAAGCAUGAAUGUCCCUGCUGCAGCACAUGUAUCGUGGAAUGUCACAAAGAAUGUCAGGAAAUUGUCGAAUUAGAGAAUGUCAUUCGUAACGCCAAAUCCUCAAAUGCUAUGUGCGAGAUAGAGGAAUCAUUAGCUGAGGUAGCAGAAAAUCUAAAGAAGAUUCGCCAGCAUCAACAAGACAAUCUGUUGACUUUUAAAGAAAAAAGAAAAGAAAUCGAAAAAGAACUAAAGAAAACUAGAAUGAAGAUCAAUAACCACCUCGACAAACUACAAGAAGAUUUAAUGAAACAACUCAACGAGCUCGAAGAAAAAGAAAACUCAAAAUUUGUCAGUUAAUGUCCUCGCUAGAAAAGAAAGAAAAAGAAAUAGGAGAAUGCCAAAAUAGCCUAUUGAACAUCAAGAAACAUGCAACAGAUCUUCAAAUGUUUCUCUCAAUUAAGCAAAUAGAAGAGGACGUUUAUAGCAAAGAAAAAAAUUGCAGGCUCUUGUAGAAGGCAAGGAACAGCAUACUCUUUCAUAUCAAACCAACACCUCUAUCCAGAAUAUCAUAUCCGAUAUCAGAAGUUUUGGGGAAGUGCGUAUUGAAUCUAAUCCAUGCGACAUAGUUCGAUCAGAAGAAGGCAAGACAAGCCCAAUUGAUGAUUCCAAUCGUUCCGAAAAAAUCUAUAGAAAAUAUAAAGCUAACAGUACACAAGACCAUCGACACUCAAGGAAAUAGUAUUUACGGAUGUUGCAUCCUGCCAGAUGAUAGAUUGGUAUUUACUUACUACUAUGACAAAAGAUUAAAAAUAUUCAGCAAUGCAGGAUCAAUAGACUUUGAGGUCCAGAUGCCGUUUCACCCGUUUGAUAUAGCAUACAUCAGUGAAGACAAUUCAUUGGCUGUUACAUCUAGUGGUUCAGAAAAGCAGUGUAUAGCUAUUAUAGAUAUCAAGAAGAAACAAAUCAAGAAAACAAUUUUACUAGAUUCCAGAAGUUUUGGCAUAGCAUUGAAAGAUAAUCGAUUGAUUUAUUCCGAUUACGACAAAGGUAUACGAAUGAUCAAUCUAGACGACGAGUCUAUACGUGACAUAGUCCGAGAACAAAUGCCAAGUCACUGUUACAUUGCAACUUGUAGGGACAACGUAUAUCAUACAAAUUACGAUAAACACACUGUUAUUUGUUAUACUCUUCAAGAUAAAAUACAAUGGACAUUUCAUAACGAAAGCGUUCUAAAGAGUCCUCAUGGUAUUGAUGUAGAUCAUGCUGGUAAUGUUUACGUGGUGGGAAACGAAUCGAACAAUGUGGUAGUUAUCUCCCCUGAUGGACAACGACAUAGAGAAGUGUUGACAGCAAGUGAUGGUCUAAGUGAACCUGUGUCACUUCAUUAUAGUAGACCAAACAAUCAGUUGCUUGUCGCUAACUCCCACAGCAAGGCUUUUUUAUUCAAUUGUAAUUGAAAAAAUAACACUUUGAAAUUAUGUCUGUUUAGAUCAUUAAUUGAAAAGUUUAUGGACAGUAGACAUUAUCUAUUUACACAAACAAAAGUCAUGAAUUUCUUCUUCAUAAUAAUAAUAAUUAACUUUUCAAUAUUCCUCUAUAACAUUUGACUGACGAACGACACAGUUUAUUUUAGUUCGAACAACGUUUUAUCGAACCAUAUAUCCAUCUGUAAUAUAAAAAUAAGGAGAUGUGGUAUAAUCACCAAUGAGACAACUACCCACAGAGUUCAUAUGAAGUGGGUGUAAGCAGUUAUUGUCUGCUACAAAAGGUCCCGACAUGAGCAAUAUAAAACAACUAAAUUAGAAAACUGACGAACUAAUUUAUGACAAAACAAUUUCCGAAAAAAACAUGUAUAACAGACUUGAACCAAAGGCAACCACCGAACAACAGGCUCGAUCCUCACUUGGAACAGGCACAUAAACAUAGUGGCGGGAAUAAAUAUGUUUGAGUGCGCUCAGUCCUCACCAAAACGGGGCUGAUGUUACAGAAUCAUACAGCACAACACAACCCUAAACUAUAAUAACUCAAUUGAAUUAUCAGUUCACCAUGUAAAACUAUCAUUGACGAUAACAGACCAGACGUGGAUCCAGCCUUUCUUAACAAACCACGGAAACGUUCACAAAAUCAAAUAAAAUUGAAAAAAGUGGAGUUUCAAUCACCAGAAUACCAUCCCCGCACAAUGGAUCUGCUAAUGCAGACUGCAUCCAUUGAUUUUAAAGUGAAAUCUUUAAACAUUCGAAUGUAUUGUUGAAGCUCAAAUAAAAAAAAAUUGCUGAUAAUACCAAAUCACUGUUAUUUAAUCGUUACAGAACAUGGAAAACAGACAUAUGUUGCAUUAGAUUGCAGUAGAUUAAAUGAAUUUUUAUAUGACAUAAAUUUCAUUGAAAGUAAAAUAUGUUCAUGAAUGUUGCAGAAUAGAUAGCAGUUAGCAUUUCCUACUUGAGUGUCGUAAUUAUGCAUAACCCCCAAAAAGUAAACCCUAGCAACUAUUAUGUUCCAUGAAAAUAUCACUUCGCUCUUUGGCCUAUAAUGAAUUCCUCAUUAUCUCCGAUUUGGAACAGCAUUGAAACAUAUAUCAUAAUGACAUUUGUGUCAUUAGUUUAACCUGCAACCGAAAAUAUCAGUGCUUAACCAGUUUUUAUAAAGAACAUGUACAUUUAAAAGCAUUUAAUUACGAGUCAAACAAAUCGGGUCAAUUAAGAUAUUUCUACUUCUUUUCAAUUUUUGUUUACCUAACUUUUGCAUUUAAGUUGGCAAAGCGAUUGUACAGGAAAGCUCCAAGUGAUUGUACAGUAAACCUUCAUGCGAUUGUACAGUCAAUAAAAAUAUACGACAUUUAGAAAAUGAAUAUAGUAGUAUUUGGGUUUCUACUGGGCUUUGAAACUUUUAGACAGGUAAGACUACAUUUUCAGAAAAGGUAACAUAUGCAUGGGAUAAGAAAAUCCUUGAAUAAUGCAUACUUUUGUAAACAAUAAAUUUAUAAAAAUGACCAUAUAAUUGAUAUUGAUGUCAACACCGGAGUGCUGACUACUAGUCUGGUUAUACCCUCGACGACGAAAGUCCACCAACAGAGACAUCGACUCAGUGGUAUACGUAGUUAUCAAAGGAACCAGGCUUAUACUUUGAUACGCCAGACCCGGGUUUCGUCUACCUCAAUCAAUCAAGACCAUAUAAAAAAGGAUACAGCGAGAGUACUAAUCCCGCUAAAAUGAAGUCAUGCCUUCCUGUAUCUAAUCUUGAGAAAAUAUUUUAUAACGUGACUGUUUUUUAAUUUCACUGGAUUUAAAUAUCUUCAUCUCAGACACUAUUGAACCAAUUGAGAUAUAACUCUAACACUCUUAAUUAUAUGUGUAGCUGUACUUGAGAGUAUGGGUCAUUAUAAAAAAACCAUGCAAAACUAUGUUAUUUGGUUUGUUAAGUCAAAAGACAUGAAAAUAUAUCAAAAUGUAUCAAAAUAACACUUGCAUAUGUUAGAUAUGAAUGUUUUGUGAUACAUUAUAUACAGUUUACAGUAUAAAAUGUUAUAAAAACAUUCUUAAUGUUUUCUUAAACCCUUGGAUAUAGACAGAAUCAACUGUUAUUUUUGGGGUCCUACUAAAAUGCGCCCGGGUGAAGAAAAAGCGCCCGGGGAAAAGAAAAAGCGCCCGGGGAAGAAAAAAUAGCGCCCGGGGAAAAGAAAAGGCGCCAGGGGAAAAUAUAUAGAUAUUUUAUUGGCAUGAGACAACUUUGUGUUGAUGAAAUAAGUUAUGCACAUUAAUUUUUUUUAAAUUUUAGACAAGUAAUUUUCAAAUUCAGAUAAAAGACAUCAAAAUGCAUGUUUUAAAAAAACGAUAUCAAAAUGAAAAAUGUAAAAAAACGACUUAAAUUUCACAGAUAAAUAUUAAUUUAAUAAAGAUUAAAAGAGUUACACAUAAUACCGCAGCAAAUAAAGCAGUACUAUACAUGUACCGUAGUUAAAACAAGGGGAUAAAAAGCAGGAGUUUGGUUUUAAUUUAAAAAUAAGCAUUAAAACCCGGAUAAGCAUAGCCAUUGAAACAGUUUUAGUUUUAUAAAAAAAGUUAUAAUAAAUGUAUAUCAGCAUCCGCAUAAAAAAGUGUUCACCAUGCAGUUGCGAAAAUAUUAGACCUCAGACAUCACAUCUACAUUUAUGUUAAGGACAAAACAAACAAUGAUUAUUUAUUUUUUUUAGGAAAAAAUUUAUUGUUAAAAAAUAUUAUUAUUUUAUUCUUCCGGGCGCUAAUUUCCUUCCUCGGGCGCUUUUUCCUUUCCCCGGGCGCUUUUUCUUUUCCCGGGCGCUCUCAGGCGCUUCCGGUCGCUUUUUAGUAGGACCAGUUAUUUUUUACUAUUAAUCCUUUCAGACCUGUAAUAGGACUAUUAUUCAUAUCAUUUGUUAUUAGGAUUUAUCACUUUUUAUUGCAUUUUGAUACAUACAAACAUUUUUUUUAAUGAUUUCGCAGGUGUAUCUUGGUUUUUAAAUACAAAAUUUCACCAAAAGGAAAAGGUGGUAUUUUAAGUCAAUGUUGUAAAUGGUAGGGUAAGAGUUAUCUUUCUCAAGAUUUCAGCAUUUGCAAUAGUUUCUCCCUUAGCAAUGUUACCUGUAAGCAUGUUAUGCAAAAGAAAACAUACAUUUAUGUUGAAAAUUUAGUGAAAAAAUCUUUAAAGUAAGUAAAAGCUAUAUCAUAAAUGAAAAUAGUGUCCAUGGUGUACCCUUAUAAAAUCAUUUUUUGAAAAUAUUUCCUGAACUUUGAAUUAUGAAAUAUAUUGAUUACAGAAACAUGCACCAGUAACAGCAUAUAUAAUAGGGGAAUGAAGCACUUAUUUCGUAACUGAAUCUUAAAAUACAACUUAAAUCAUUGGUGUUACUGUCAAUGGUGAAAGCAUUUUGAUAAAAUAACACCAUUGACCAGUUUAGUAACACCACUAAAUAUAUCAUGACAAUCAGCAUUGUUUUGUGUUUCUUUCAUGUUUAACAAGCUAAACAUCAUAUUAUUUAUGAAAAACAAUACUUAUUUAACAAUGUUUUUACAUUAUCAUGUAUUACAUAUACAAAGUUUUCACAAACUGAUGUAUGCUGGUAACACCAAUGUCACUAUUUAGUAACACGAUUGACAUUUUUAGUAAUGGAUGUUUUGUUAUAUAAUUUGAGAUUUUUUAGCCUAAGAAGUAUUUUUUCAUCUUUUUCUUUUGCUCAGUGUUCUUGGCUUUGUGUUCAGUACUUAAUAAAAGUAAAAUUUGAAAUGUGAUGUCAAUGGUGAUACUUUUGUGUCAUUGGAGUUACAGAAGGGGUCUUCAUCUCUGAUAGUAUUGAACAAAUGGGACUCAAUUGGCGUGAAUUAUCAUUGAAUUUGUAUAAAUUUAAUUCUGUUCAAUCAACCAUAUCUACUUAGUACUAUGACCGAACAUAGAUAUUACAGUUCAGUAUAAAUAAACAUGAAGUGCGCCUUUAUCUGCAUGUCAUUUUGAAAAUAUAUACAGAUCUAUACACGCACGUCUGUUCGCAUUAUUCUCUUUUGUAGUAAAUAGACGCAUCAAAUUAAUUCUAGAUCGAGAAAUAAGGGCAACACAAGCUUAUAUAAUUUCGAUAACUUGACGACCCAAAAAUCCAUGUCUUCAACAUAUUUUGGGAAAUUUUUGUCACUUUACAAAAUAAAUGUGUUUCACAUCGACGGAACCCACUUUUGAGUGAGGAUGUACGUUAAUUCACCAUCUUUCAAUGGCACGACCUUUAAAUGCCAAGAAAAUAGCAACCAAAAACACAUAUAAGUACGGUAUCGAGAAUUUUGAUAGCAUAUGACUUGCAUUAUAUGUAGACAUUCUUGGCGAGUGCACCAGAAGAGAAGUAUAACAAUUAGAAAAGUGGGAUUCCGUCUCAAAACAAGACACAACUGAAGCUAGAGAUCAUAAAAGUGAAUGAAGUUAACGACAAAUGGCUCAUAUACGCGCAUAACUGAUAUUUCUAAAUAACGAAUGCAUUUAAAAUCGUAAAACAUCUUCUGAAAUCUGAAGACAUUAAUUUCUAAACGAAAUGUAAUGUAUACAUAAUACAGCUAGUAGGCGUCUGUAAUCGGAUUUCCAAGAAUUCUUUCCUUAACUUAAUACCGUUUUGUAAGAAUAUGUUUGUCUUUCUAAAAAUGAAAUUAUUUAUAAAAUCAAGACAAUAAAGAUGAAUGGCUAUUAAUAUCCAGUUGGAAAUAAAAUUUAAAUUUCAGUACGAGAACAUGAUGAAUGCGGUGUGAAUAUGAAACAUGUUUUGUACUGACCGACAUGAUGGCCUAGAUGUUUAACUAGCGUGUUAGUUCCCAAAGUAACCGUCCACAUAAAGCAAUCAAUGUCCUGAUAUCCAUAAAACAUGUAUGUAUUCUUUAGAUGUGUGACACAGAAAAUGUGCUAAGACUUGGUUGUUUUCUAUAUGAUGACUGACACAAAUGGUACAUUUGGUAACUGUAUAAUUUACAGUAGGUGUUUAAUUCCUACAACUGGUUACCUUUCAUUGGCUGAAAGACUAAUCCUUUUAUUCCGUCAUAUGCUUUCAAUUCGUAGGAAAACAAGAGUGCACACGCCUGCUUUACUUAUCAUUGAAUUUAUGUUGAAAUGUGUAACAUGGAGUUUUUACAAGUAUCACAUACACUUAAUAUUAUCAAUGUUCUGUAAUGGUGAUGUCAUGAUCAGAUGAACCAGGCAAGACAGACAUGUACACCUUAAAAUCUUUCAAUACACCAAAUAUAGUUGACCUGUUGCUUAUAAUCUCUGGAAGGCUGACAAAAUUACGAAAAUAAGACCAAUGAACCAUGAAAUUGGGGUCAAGGGAAAAUAAUACAAGCCAGACAGACACGUACACCUUAUAAUUAUUUCAUUCACCAAUAAUAGCUGACCUAUUACUUGUCUUUAAGGAUUUGAAAAACAGAUCGAAACCAAAAACACUUAACAUUGACCAAUGAACCAUGAAAUGAGGUCACGGUCAUAUGAUACUUGAUGAAUGACGUGUAUAACUUAGAUUCAUUUGAUACACUAAAUAGAGUUGACAGAUAUACUAGUAGAAGUACAUGGAAAACAGACAAAAACCUACCAUUAACCAUGAAAAUGAGGACAACGUCAUACGAUACUGGCUAGUGACACUGAAUAAAGUUGACAAAUAUAGUAGCACUUGAAAAAAACAAAAAUAACCUAACAAUUAACGUUGACCAAUGAACCAUGCAAUUACUAAUUGUUUUGCUAGAUCAUACUAAUUAACCAAUGAAAUUGCUUAUUAAUUUUCAAUUAACCAAUCAGCACUAAUUAGCAUGGCCUUAGUUUUAAACACGCAAUCAUAAUUAUUCUAAAAGCAGCGCUUGCAGUCGUUUUAUAUUUUUUGGGAAAACAGUUGCCUAGUGGACCUUUUUUUUUAUUUGCUAUAUACAUAUAUUACGGAUAUUGUUGCAUUCGUAGAAUCUAUGCAUACUUUUAUAUUGUUUCAUUAGUAGAGUAGUUUUAUUUCAAAGAACUCACAGUUUUUAUGUACUUCUUGUAUGGAGUACCACAGUUUUUCAAUUUGAUUUUGCUUUCUUUGUAAAUAUGUUUAUUGCUUAUUGAUAUGCAAAGAAAAUAUUAAACUGCGAUUCUUCUCUCGAACCCGAGAAAUUAAAUUAUUAACUAUGAAGCAACUGACAAAAUGGUUUCGAUUGCAAUCCAACCUUCACACUAAAAUCAUGCUCUUCUCAUUUUGUUUGUUUUAUUGUGAAUGAAUGUAUUUAUUGUGCCUAUUUUGUUUUGAUAUUUGUGGUUGUAGUCCAUAUAUUUACUUAAAGAUGACAAUUUUUAAAGGCUAAUUUAAACUGCUAUACUACACUUUGGUACAAUUAUAAUUAUAAGGACUUAUGUUAACUUUAACAAAUCUGAGAGAACAAUUCUCCAACAAAUUCAUAACACUAGGUGGACAGUUACAAUAUGUGUUCAUUCUUUAAAAAUAUAGGAGUUAAUUACACAAAUGUGUAAAUUCUUUUUAAAAUCUUUCUUGUAAAUUACUAAGUUUCCAAAAAUUGUUUGGAAAAUGGGAAAAUUUCCUAAAAAAUGCCAUGACAGCCUGUGCAACUCUUAUAUAUACACAGUAAAUCUGUGCAGCUAAGAUUAUCUAGAAUGAACACUGUAAGAGAUUUAAACAGAAUAUUACAAUUGUCAGUUUUGGUGACUAUGACUAUUAAGUUCCCAAAUUUGAAAAAAAUCCUCUUUAAACAGUUCUAUAAAAAUUAUAUAGUGUAUUAAAUUACAUUUUUUGAUUGAGUUAAGCCUGCCAAUUGAUAUUUUAUCGUAUUUUUUUCUAUGUUGUGAUGUUAUGCUAUUGUUUCAGAAAAAGGGAGAAGGUUUGUAUCAUUAAAACGUUUAAUCCCGCUGCAAAUGUUUGCACCUGUCCUAAGUCAGGAAUCUGAUGUACAGCAGUUGUCUUUUGUUUAUGUAAUUUAUACGUGUUUCUCCUUUCUUGUUUAUAUAAAUUAGACGGUUGGUUUUCCCGUUUGAAUGGUUUUACACUAGUAUUUUGGGGGCUCUUUAUAGCUUGUUGUUCUGUGUGAGCCAAGGCUCCGUGUUGAAAGCCGUACAUUGACCUAUAAUGGUUUAUUUUUAAAUUGUUAUUUGGAUGUAGAGUUGUCUCUUUGGCACUCACACCACAUCUUUCUAUAUCUAUUUAAAUACCCUAUUUUCAAUUUCAAAAGUGUCUUUUCACCUAUAUUCAGGCAAAAUGUUGUUUUGACGUUACCAAGGCAAUGCACAUUAUACAGGGAAAAUAAUGACAAAAUUUACUCAUAUACCAAUGUUUUUAUCAUAUAGGGGAAAACAAAUUUAUUCUGUGACAUGUCAUGAAUUACCCUCCUCAUGAUUUUAAAAAAUACAGGUAUUUUAAACCCAAGUCAAAUUGAAAACAAUUUUAGAAUAUUUACUUUUAAAGAUGGUACCACCGACUGCAAAACUAUUGUUAUGGCUAAUCAUUUAUCAUUGAUUCUAAUUUUGUAGUGUGUUUAAUGGCUGCAUCAUCUCAAAGCUGUGGUGUUUGUGACCUCCGUCACAUCACAAAACCAUGCAUAGUCUGGUGUACAGAAUGUGACGAGGGACUAUGUUCAGAAUGCAAGGAACAUCAUAGUUUGUCUAAGUCAUCGAGAAGCCACAGUGUGAUACCUAUUGCCGAAUACCAGAAACUG